UCGGGUGGGAGCGCAGAGGGGGCCUCGGGGUUGUGCUUUGCUGGGAUCUGGGAAGGAAGCAAGCGGCAGCGCCGGACUCCCCUCUCUCCAGGACAUGCGCCUGCAGGACUCGGAACGUGCAGAGGUCCGUCCUGGCCCCAGCCAUGCCACGGGCUGUCUGAGAGAGAGUCGCAGCCUCUCUGAGGCUUAGCUUCCUUUCCUGUGAAAUGGCUGUGGUGAGGAGCAAACGCUCAGCAGUGAAGAAGGACACUUUGUAACCGCAAAGGAGCCUGUGAGUGUGAGCCCCACAGUUGAAGGAGAGCAUAAGUCACCUCCAGAGAUUAUCACAUGUGGUGGACUGCCUUCAGCCUUUUUUCUGGGUAUAAAAUAUACAUAUAUGUAUUUUAAUACAAUCGUGGCCAUUCUCUACGUGCUGUUCUGCUGUUCUGUACUGCCUUUUUUUUUCUGUCUCUCCAAGUGCUUAACUUAUGGUUAAAAGUCCGGAUUCGGCCAGAGAGGUGGCUCACCAGCACUUUGGGAGGCCAA